GCGUUGUCCGGAAUCAUUGGGCGUAAAGCGCGUGUAGGCGGUUCGAUAAGUCUGCUGUGAAAGUCCAGGGCUCAACCCUGGGAUGCCGGUGGAUACUGUCGGGCUAGAGUACGGAAGAGGCGAGUGGAAUUCCCGGUGUAGCGGUGAAAUGCGCAGAUAUCGGGAGGAACACCAAUUGCGAAGGCAGCUCGCUGGGACGUUACUGACGCUGAGACGCGAAAGCGUG
rnacentral:rRNA from 1 species